GAUGAACGCUGGCGGCGUGCUUAACACAUGCAAGUCGAACGAGAAAUGUAGACGGAAACCUUCGGGCGGAAGCCUUCAUUUCGAGUGGCGGACGGGUGAGUAACGCGUGGGUAACCUGCCUCAUACAGGGGGAUAACAGUUGGAAACGACUGUUAAUACCGCAUAAGACCACAGCAUCGCAUGAUGCGGGGGUAAAAACUCCGGUGGUAUGAGAUGGACCCGCGUUCGAUUAGCCAGUUGGCGGGGUAACGGCCCACCAAAGCGACGAUCGAUAGCCGAUCUGAGAGGAUGACCGGCCACAUUGGGACUGAGACACGGCCCAAACUCCUACGGGAGGCAGCAGUGGGGAAUAGUGCACAAUGGGGGAAACCCUGAUGCAGCGACGCCGCGUGAGUGAAGAAGUACUUCGGUAUGUAAAGCUCUAUCAGCAGGGAAGAAAAUGACGGUACCUGAGUAAGAAGCCCCGGCUAACUACGUG
rnacentral:rRNA from 1 species